rnacentral:rRNA from 1 species
AUUGAACGCUGGCGGCAGGCCUAACACAUGCAAGUCGAACGAGUGGCGGACGGGUGAGUAAUGUCUGGGAAACUGCCUGAUGGAGGGGGAUAACUACUGGAAACGGUAGCUAAUACCGCAUACAAUCGGAUGUGCCCAGAUGGGAUUAGCUAGUAGGUGGGGUAACGGCUCACCUAGGCGACGGGCCCUAGCUGGUCUGAGAGGAGGACCAGCCACCCUGGAACUGGGACACGGGCCGGCGUCCUACGGUAGGCAGCAGUGGGGAAUAUUGCACAAUGGGCGCAAGCCUGAUGCAUCCAUGCCGCUUGUAUGAAGAAGGCCUUCGGGUUGUAAAGUACUUUCAGCGGUGAGGCGUUACCCGCAGAAGAAGCACCGGCUAACUCCGUGCCAGCAGCCGCGGUAAUUC